rnacentral:misc_RNA from 1 species
UACGGAGGGGGCAAGCGUUAUUCGGAAUUAUUGGGCGUAAAGGGCGCGUAGGCGGCUUGGUAAGUCAAAGGUGAAAUCCCUCGGCUCAACCGGGGAACUGCCUUUGAAACUGCCUCGCUAGAGUCCGGGAGAGGGUAGCGGAAUUCCCAGUGUAGCGGUGAAAUGCGUAGAUAUUGGGAGGAACACCCGUGGCGAAGGCGGCUACCUGGACCGGUACUGACGCUGAGGCGCGAAAGCGUGGGGAGCAAACAGG